rnacentral:rRNA from 1 species
AGAGUUUGAUCAUGGCUCAGGACGAACGCUGGCGGCGUGCCUAACACAUGCAAGUCGAGCGAAGCACUUUACUUUGAAAUCUUCGGAAGGAUAAGUUUUGUGACUGAGCGGCGGACGGGUGAGUAACGCGUGGGUAACCUGCCUCAUACAGGGGGAUAACAGUUAGAAAUGACUGCUAAUACCGCAUAAGACCACAGCACCGCAUGGUGCAGGGGUAAAAACUCCGCGG